AUUGAACGCUGGCGGCAUGCCUUACACAUGCAAGUCGAACGGCAGCACGGGAGCAAUCCUGGUGGCGAGUGGCGAACGGGUGAGUAAAGUAUCGGAACGUGCCCAGUCGUGGGGGAUAACGUAGCGAAAGUUACGCUAAUACCGCAUACGAUCUAUGGAUGAAAGCGGGGGAUCGCAAGACCUCGCGCGAUUGGAGCGGCCGAUAUCAGAUUAGGUAGUUGGUGGGGUAAAGGCCCACCAAGCCGACGAUCUGUAGCUGGUCUGAGAGGACGACCGGCCACACGGGGAAUGAGACGCGGACCAGAGUCCUACGGGAGGCGGCAGUGGGGAAUUUUGGACAAUGGGCGAAAGCCUGAUCCAGCCAUGCCGCGUGCAGGAUGAAGGCCUUCGGGUUGUAAACUGCUUUUGUACGGAACGAAAAGGACUGCCCUAAUACGGUGGUCCCAUGACGGUACCGUAAGAAUAAGCACCGGCUAACUACGUGCCAGCAGCCGCCGUAA
rnacentral:rRNA from 1 species